GGGUUUGAUCCUGGCUCAGGAUGAACGCUAGCGGCAGGCUUAACACAUGCAAGUCGAGGGGUAAUUCCGGCUUUUGUCGGAAACGACCGGCGAACGGGUGAGUAACGCGUAUGCAACCUGCCUGUAACUGCGGCAUAGCCCCGAGAAAUCGGGAUUAAUAUCGCAUAGUAUCCCAGUAUCGCAUGAUACAGGGAUGAAAGCUUCGGCGGUUACAGAUAGGCAUGCGUGACAUUAGCUUGUUGGUGAGGUAACGGCUCACCAAGGCGACGAUGUCUAGGGGGUCUGAGAGGAUGAUCCCCCACACUGGUACUGAGACACGGACCAGACUCCUACGGGAGGCAGCAGUGAGGAAUAUUGCGCAAUGGAGGAAACUCUGACGCAGCCAUGCCGCGUGCAGGAUGACAGCCCUAUGGGUUGUAAACUGCUUUUCUGCAGGAAGAAUCUUCCGUACGUGUACGGAAUUGACGGUACUGCAGGAAUAAGCAUCGGCUAACUCCGUGCCAGCAGCCGCGGUAAUACGGAGGAUGCAAGCGUUAUCCGGAUUCAUUGGGUUUAAAGGGUGCGCAGGCGGAGGUGUAAGUCAGAGGUGAAAGCCCACAGCUUAACUGUGGAAUGGCCUUUGAUACUGCACGUCUUGAGUCUAGCUGAGGUAGGCGGAAUGUAGUAUGUAGCGGUGAAAUGCUUAGAUAUACUACAGAACACCCAUUGCGAAGGCAGCUUACCAAACUAGCACUGACGCUCAGGCACGAAAGCGUGGGUAGCCAACAGGAUUAGAUACCCUGGUAGUCCACGCCGUAAACGUUGAUCACUCGUUGUUGGCAAUAUAUCGUCAGCGACUCAGCAAAAGCUUUAAGUGAUCCACCUGGGGAUUACGUCCGCAAGGAUGAAACUCAAGGGAAUUGACGGGGGCCCACACAACCGGUGGAGCACGUGGUUUAAUUCGAUGAUAAGCGAAGAACCUUACCAGGGCUUGACCUAGCGGUAGUAGGACCCUGAAAAGGGAACGACCUCAAGCUUUGCUUGAGGAGCCGUGGCAGGUAUUGCAUGGCUGUCGUCAGCUCGUGUCGUGAGAUGUUCGGUUAAGUCCGGCAACGAGCGCAACCCACAUCUUUAGUUGCCAGCAUUUAGUUGGGCACUCUAAAGAAACUGCCCGUGAUAAGCGGGAGGAAGGUGUGGAUGACGUCAAGUCCUCAUGGCCCUUACGGGUUGGGCUACACACGUGCUACAAUGGCCGGUACAGUGGGCAGCUUAUGCGCGAGCAUUUGCUAAUCCCUAAAACCGGUCUCAGUCCGGAUUGGAGUCUGCAACCCGACUCCAUGAAGCUGGAUUCGCUAGUAAUCGCACAUCAGCCAUGGUGCGGUGAAUACGUUCCCGGGCCUUGUACACACCGCCCGUCAAGCCAUGGAAGCUGGGGGUACCUGAAGUCCGUAACCGUUAAGGAGCGGCCUAGGGUAAAACCGGUGACUGGGGCUAAGUCGUAACAAGGUAGCCGAAGGGCGAAUUCG
rnacentral:rRNA from 1 species